AUUGAACGCUGGCGGCAGGCCUAACACAUGCAAGUCGAGCGAGCGGCGGACGGGUGAGUAAUGUCGGGGAACCUGCCUGAUGGAGGGGGAUAACUACUGGAACCGGUAGCUAAUACCGCAUACCAUCAGAUGUGCCCAGUUGGGAUUAGCUAGUAGGUGGGGUAACGGCUCACCUAGGCGACGAUGCCUAGCUGGUCUGAGAGGAUGACCAGCCACACUGGGACUGAGACACGGUCCAGACUCCUACGGGAGGCAGCAGUAGGGAAUAUUGCGCAAUGGGCGCAAGCCUGAUGCAGCCAUGCCGCGUGUGUGAAGAAGGCCUUCGGGUUGUAAAGCACUUUCGGCGGGGAGGCGUUACCCACAGAAGAAGCACCGGCUAACUCCGUGCCAGCCGCCGCGGUAAUAC
rnacentral:rRNA from 1 species